rnacentral:SRP_RNA from 14 species
GCGCGGUCGAUGGAGUUCAUGUCACUCAGGUAGGAGGACGCGUCGGAUGGGCUCAUGCCCGAAAGGGAGGAGGCCAUAGCGAUCGCGCUGCCAGAGGUCGCUCCUCC